UACGGAGGGUGCAAGCGUUAUCCGGAUUCACUGGGUUUAAAGGGUGCGUAGGUGGGUUGGUAAGUCAGUGGUGAAAUCCCCGAGCUUAACUUGGGAACUGCCAUUGAUACUAUUAAUCUUGAAUACCGUGGAGGUUAGCGGAAUAUGUCAUGUAGCGGUGAAAUGCUUAGAUAUGACAUAGAACACCAAUUGCGAAGGCAGCUGGCUACACGAAUAUUGACACUGAUGCACGAAAGCGUGGGGAGCAAACAGG
rnacentral:rRNA from 1 species